UACGGAGGAUCCUAGUGUUAUCCGGAUUUAUUGGGUUUAAAGGGAGCGUAGGCGGGAGGUCAAGUCAGCUGGGAAAUGUAUCUGCUUAACGGGUACAACUGCAGUUGAAACUGGUUUUCUUGAGUGCGUAAGAGGCAGGCGGAAUUCGUUGUGUAGCGGUGAAAUGCUUAGAUAUGACGAGGAACUCCUAUUGCGAAGGCAGCUUGCUGGGUCGUUACUGACGCUGAUGCUCGAAGGUGCGGGGAUCAAACAGGAUUAGAUACCCCCGUA
rnacentral:rRNA from 1 species